rnacentral:rRNA from 1 species
UACGAGUGCGUCGAGCGUUAUCCGGAAUCAUUGGGCGUAAAGCGCUUGUAGGCGGCUUGUUAAGUUCCGUGUGAAAUCCCCAGGCUUAACCUGGGAAGUGCGCGGAAAACUGGCGAGCUUGAGUGCCGGAGAGGGUCGCGGAAUUCCCGGUGUAGAGGUGAAAUUCGUAGAUAUCGAGAGGAACACCGGUGGCGAAGGCGGCCAACUGGACGAAUACUGACGCUGAGACUCGAAAGCGUGGGGAGCAAACAGG